rnacentral:tRNA from 1 species
GGGUUAGCAAAGACUAUGGUUAUAAGUGUAUGAACUUACAUACAUAAUCUUUGACUCUUAAUCAAUUGGUCGUAAGUUCGAAUCUUACACGGCCCACCA